rnacentral:rRNA from 1 species
UACGGGGGGGAGCAAGCGUUGUUCGGAUUUACUGGGCGUAAAGGGUGCGUAGGCGGCGCAACAAGUCACUUGUGAAAUCUCCGGGCUUAACCCGGAGCGGUCAAGUGAUACUGUCGUGCUAGAGUGCGGAAGGGGCUACUGGAAUUCUCGGUGUAGCGGUGAAAUGCGUAGAUAUCGAGAGGAACACCUGCGGCGAAAGGCAGCUUGCUGGGCCGAAUCCUAACACUGGAGGU